rnacentral:rRNA from 1 species
UACAGGGGGUGCAAACGUUGCUCGGAAUCAUUUUGCGUAAAGCGCACGUAGGCGGUCUGUUAUGUCGGAUGUGAAAGCCCUUGGCUUAACUGAGGAAGUGCAUCCGAAACUGGCAGGCUAGAGUACUAAAGAGGGUCGCGGAAUUCCUGGUGUAGCGGUGGAAUGCGCAGAUAUCAGGAGGAACACCAGUGGCGAAGGCGGCUUGCUAAACAAACAUUGACGCUGAGGCACGAAAGCGUGGGGAUCAAACAGG